UCCCGGAACAAACGGCGACUCGGCGUGCUUCUUGGAGACGCGCUGGCUUUGUUUGGAAACAUUUUCGUCGGCGGAAAACAAACUGAAAUGUUGUGUAAAAGCUUCUUUUCUCUUGACCUUGGAGCCUGACUGUUACGAGAAGAAACCCCACCAGCCCCAAAGACUUAUUCCCUCAAUUUAACAGCAGACCGAGGUGUUUCUCCAGCAUCAUCGGAUCAAUGAAAACCCCAGGGACGAUGCUGAUUGCCAAAGAUUGGACAAGCUAACAAGCGCAUGAUGAGGAACCAGUUGGUUCUUCUUGCUUUCUCUCAGUUUUCGGAGGUCUUUGGGACAGGCACACACAAAAGGAAAGCUGAUCCGUGGAUGUAUUCUGUCAUUCUCUUGGAGGCUGCUUUUUCUUCCUUGUUUUGACUUAGUUCAACUUGACAGGGUGCUUUUAAGGAUAUUUUGGGGACCAAAAAUGAGUGGAAUACCAGGAAAUCAAUGAAAGGAUGUAUUCAUGGAUCGGAGCUGGUGGACUAAAUUUUAACUCCCUUUCAGUUCAAGUUACUGACUCAUUUAUCAGAGUCUUCCAUCACAAGGUGGCCUAUUGUGAUCGACACUCUAUGGUUUUUCCUUUACAUGUGGGUGAGUCUUAACGUUUUCUUUGGAUCCAUCUUAUCCCAUAUAUGAUUAGCGAUUGGUGAGAGACACAGAGAGGGAGGGACAAUUCAAACACUCAACUCACCCUCUAGAAUAGUAUACAAUAGUGGAAAGGGUCUAGUGGAAUUUUCCCACAUAAAAUAAAUAAAUACAAAUAAAAUCAUUAAUAUUAAAUACUAAAUUCAGCACUACCCUUAUACAAAAAUGUUAUGUUCAUCAAGGAGUGAUAGAAAUUAAUCAUAAGACUAAUCAAUCAUUUUCUUUUGAUUACACUCCUGAAAAGAAUGCAUCUCGAAAAUAUUAAGCGUAUAUUAACAGUUUUCAACAUCGAUAUCGAUAGUGAUAUUGAUCUUGACACUGAAAACUGCAGUAAUAUCUGAAGAAAGGAAAAACAGCUUUAAUACAGUGUAUUACAAUAGAAAAUGGUUCCUUUGUAAUUUUUCACAUUAUAAUUUUUUUUUAUAAAUAAGAGCAGACUUGGUGAGCAUAAGAGACAUUAAAAACAUUUUAAAAAGUCUUACUGACGCCCAAACUUUUCAGUGAUGGUGUAUUUACCAUUUACUGCAUGAAAAAAUUGUGUACAAAAGCUUGUUGCCAAAUAUCAAUCUAUGAGACCUUUUUACAUUAGUAUACAUUCAUCACAUUGAAUUUGUUUACUAAAUAUUAUAGUUAUUUGUAAAUGAAUCACCCCAACUCCCCAGCCUCAUGUCAGUUAGCGCGUUUGUUCCUCUUUGCAUUCAAUAUUUUAGGUUUUCCCUGGCAGAUGACAGUUGUAAGUAGCCAUAUUAGAUAACCCUCAGGGUGCCCUUAGUCUUGAUUUGAGCACAAUUAAUUUUCUAUUAUAGAGUGCUAAAGAUGUUCAGUGCUGCUCUGGCUCACCUACAAUAUUGAGUGGCCAGCCAAUUGUGGACUUGGUCAGGCCUUGUAGUGGGGUUUGGAGCUUCCCUCAGGGAUCUCAUUUAUUAUUUGCAGAUAUUGAUUUGACAGAAAGGGCAAGGCAAACUACUCUGGUGUUGACUUAGACCUGGCCCCUGGCUGUUAACAUGCUCUCAGCUGACCAGUGCUGAGACUGUGAUGUUUGCGGUUUGAUCCACGGCUCUUACGGAGCGAAUAUUUUCAACUGUUAAAUUGUGGGAGUCUCUAAUAUAGUGUUUCUUGAGAAGAGGAAGGGAGGAUGGUGAUUGUGGAGCACGAUGCCUCAGCCUUUCU